rnacentral:rRNA from 1 species
UGGGGAAUUUUGCGCAAUGGGCGAAAGCCUGACGCAGCAACGCCGCGUGCGGGAUGAAGGCCUUCGGGUUGUAAACCGCUUUCAGCAGGGAUGAAAUUGACAGUACCUGCAGAAGAAGCCCCGGCUAACUACGUGCCAGCAGCCGCGGUAAUACGUAGGGGGCAAGCGUUAUCCGGAUUCAUUGGGCGUAAAGAGCGCGUAGGCGGCUUGUUAAGUCAGGUGUGAAAACUGGGGGCUCAACCCGCAGCCUGCAUCUGAAACUGGCAAGCUUGAGUCUGGUAGAGGAAAGUGGAAUUCCCAGUGUAGCGGUGAAAUGCGCAGAUAUUGGGAGGAACACCAGUGGCGAAGGCGGCUUUCUGGGCCACGACUGACGCUGAGGCGCGAAAGCUAGGGGAGCGAACA